GAUGAACGCUGGCGGCGUGCUUAACACAUGCAAGUCGAGCGAAGCGCUUAAGUUUGAUUCUUCGGAUGAAGACUUUUGUGACUGAGCGGGCGACGGGUGAAGGUAACGCGUGGGUAACCUGCCUCAUACAGGGGGAUAACAGUUAGAAAUGACUGCUAAUACCGCAUAAGACCACAGGGUCGCAUGACCCGGUGGUAAAAACUCCGGUGGUAUGAGAUGGACCCGCGUCUGAUUAGCUAGUUGGUGAGGUAAAGGCCCACCAAGGCGACGAUCAGUAGCCGACCUGAGAGGGUGAUCGGCCACAUUGGGACUGAGACACGGCCCAA
rnacentral:rRNA from 1 species